rnacentral:rRNA from 1 species
UACAGAGGUCUCAAGCGUUGUUCGGAUUCAUUGGGCGUAAAGGGUGCGUAGGCGGCGCGGUAAGUCGGGUGUGAAAUCUCGGAGCUUAACUCCGAAACUGCAUUCGAUACUGCCGUGCUUGAGGACUGGAGAGGAGACUGGAAUUUACGGUGUAGCGGUGAAAUGCGUAGAUAUCGUAAGGAAGACCAGUGGCGAAGGAGCGGGUCUCGUGGACGGCUAACUGACGCUGAGGCGCGAAGGCCAGGGGAGCAAACGGG